UGCGUAGCCGACCUGAGAGGGGUGAUUGGCCACACAUGGGAAUGAGACACGGCCCAGACUUCUACGGGAGGCAGCAGUAGGGAAUUCUUCGCAAUGGACGAAAGUUUGACGGAGCAACCCCGCGUGAGUGAUGAAGGCUUUCGGGUUGUAAAACUUUGUUGUUAGGGAAGAACAAGUGCUAGUUGAAUAAGCUGGCACCUUGACGGUACCUAACCAGAAAGCCACGGCUAACUACGUGCCAGCAGCCGCGGUAAUACGUAGGUGGCAAGCGUUAUCCGGAAUUAUUGGGCGUAAAGCGCGCGCAGGUGGUUUCUUAAGUCUGAUGUGAAAGCCCACGGCUCAACCGUGGAGGGUCAUUGGAAACUGGGAGACUUGAGUGCAGAAGAGGAAAGUGGAAUUCCAUGUGUAGCGGUGAAAUGCGUAGAGAUAUGGAGGAACACCAGUGGCGAAGGCGACUUUCUGGUCUGUAACUGACACUGAGGCGCGAAAGCGUGGGGAGCAAACAGGUAUUAGAUACCCUGGUAGUCCACGCCGUAAACGAUGAGUGCUAAGUGGUUAGAGGGUUUCCGCCUCUUUAGUGCUGAAGUUAACGCAUAUAAGCACUCCUGCCUGGGGAGUACGGCCGGGCAAGGAUGAAACUCAAAGGAAUUGACGGGGGCCCGCACAAGCGGUGGAGCAUGUGGGUGAAUUCGAACGCAACGCAAAAAACCUUACCAGGUCUUGACAUCCUCUAAAAACCCUAAAAAAAAAGGCUUCUCCUUCAGAAACAGAAGAAAAGGGGGUGCAUGGGUGGUCGUCAGCUCCUCCCGUCGUGAGAUGUAGGGUUAAGUCCCACAACCAGCGCAACCCCCCUUGAUCUUAGUUGCCAUCAUUAAGUUGGGCACUCUAACGUGACUGUGAGUGACAAACAGAAGGAGGGAGGG
rnacentral:rRNA from 1 species